CAUUUCUACACUGCGUUCAGCAGGUCAACUAUGUGGGUUGGCACACUGGGAGCAGAGCCACAGCUUUACUAUUUCCUGCCCAGCUGCUCUAGCAGAGCAAUAGUAGCUAUACAGCAUCUGUAUCUGUUCAUUCCUGCAUGCUAGAACCCAAGACCUUUCAUCUCAAAAGAUCUCUACUUUAUAGACUUGAUGGGCAGCAAUCACUCAACCUCCUCUGAGAUGGAACACGGCAGUCACUGUGCACCAGCAAUAGUUUUUAGGCAGCACUGUAAAUGUACAGAAUGUUGUACACGACUCACACUGGGACAUGAUCCAUGCCCUAGAGAGCUUGCAGUAUAAGGUACUGAUCUUGCAGAAGGAUCUACUCAGACAGACACACCCUGCAGCGUCCCACUGAUUUAAAAAUCACCCUUGGAUUGGGCCCUAAUGCAGACAAAACACAGGUACGUGCGUGUGGAGAGACCAGUGAUGAAGAGAUAAAUGUAGAAAUGGACUCUAAAGAAGAGACAGAAGGAGGAGAGACAGGGCUGUUAGCAGAAAAGAGGUGGGAGACUGUUCUAAGUGUAGUGGACACAACAUGAGAAAAAGUAUCAUGCUGAAAACAGGAGAAAGGAGUGAGUGUAUGAAGCAAGAGAGUAAACAGAAUGAACUUAUGAAGGAAUUUAGGUAGGGGAGAGAUUGUAUAGGACUCUGAAGGUAAGAACGAGGAGCUUGAAUAUGAUGCAAUAAAAGAGAGAAAAUCAAGAAGGGCAGUAGUGGUAUGGUUGGAACAAAAGAGGAAAAGGACUUUAAUGGCAUUUGGAAAGAUUUAGAAGCAGGAUUUUGAAGAUAAGCAGAGAGGAGGUUAUAAUAAUCAAGACAACUGAUGACAAAGGCAUGAGCAUGUUGGUGAUAUGACAGAGACUUUAAAACCUGUAUUUAUUUAUUUUCCCUAUAAUUUGUAUACUUCAGGAUGGCAUGGAUUUUGUUGCCAUUUUCCAAACCUUGACAAAUAAAUGGCAUUAGCAAUGGUAUAUCACUUUUGUAACUUCACUCUACUGGACUCAGAGAAAGACCUAAUUAGGAAUAAGAACAGAUUCCGCUGAGUUUCAUUCAUGUUUUGCUUGUCUUAUUUUGCAGCUGUGUAAGGCUAAACUAUUGUAAGUAAAAACUUCUCACUGAUACUGAUGUACUGGAAACUGGUUUGUGUUAGUUAGUUGUCAGAAAAAGAUUAAUUUAGUAUUUGCUAUGUAUGCUUUGCCAAGAAUCUGAUGGCUCAUUAGGAGAGCCAAUAAAAGAAGCCGAAAGUAUUCAGGUUGCACAAACAUUUAGAUUAUAUAACACCAUUAAUUAUAGCUCCCCAGAGGAGUUCCUGAACUGAUUAAAAUAAUACUUUACAGCUUAUUGAUUCUAAUGAAAAGAAGACUGUCCUACUUUAUCCCUCUCUUAGCCACUGCAGUUAUUGUAUGUAAAGUCCAGUAAAAUUAUACUAAAUUGGUAUCUCUAACCCUAUUAGAAAGGAUUAUAAUUAUAUAUCUGGACAAUGUAUCUAGUACUGUGGGUAGAUGAGUGUUGUUUAUCUAGCCCCCUGUGGUGAUUUUU